rnacentral:rRNA from 1 species
UACGUAGGGGGCAAGCGUUGUCCGGAUUUAUUGGGCGUAAAGAGCGUGUAGGCGGCUUUACAGGUCCGUUGUGAAAACUCGAGGCUCAACCUCGAGACGCCGGUGGAAACCGUAAAGCUAGAGUCCGGAAGAGGAGAGUGGAAUUCCUGGUGUAGCGGUGAAAUGCGUAGAUAUCGGGAGGAACACCAGUGGCGAAGGCGACUACCUGGCCUGUUUCUUGACGCUGAGGCGCGAAAGCUAGGGGAGCAAACGGG